rnacentral:rRNA from 1 species
UUCUGACCUCGAAUCAGGUGGGACUACCCGCUGAACUUAAGCAUAUCAAUAAGCGGAGGAAAAGAAACUAACAAGGAUUCCCCUAGUAACGGCGAGUGAAGUGGGAUGAGCUCAAAUUUAAAAUCUGGUAGUCUUUGGCUGCCCGAGUUGUAAUCUAGAGAAGUGUUUUCUGUGCUGGACUGUGUUCAAGUUUCCUGGAUAUGGAACAUCAUAGAGGGUGAGAAUCCCGUCCUUGACACAGAUUCCCUAGUGCUCUGUGAUGCACUCUCAACGAGUCGAGUUGUUUGGGAUUGCAGCUCAAAAUGGGAGGUAAAUUC